UCCUCCUACCUCAGCCUCCUGAGUAGCUGGGACCACAGGCGUGUACCACCAUGCCUGGCUAAUUUUUUGUGGAGAUGAGGUCUUGUUAUAUUGGCUAGGCUGGUCUCGAACUCCUGAGCUCAAGUGAUCCUCCCACUACAGCCUCCCAAAGUGCUGGGAUUACAGGUGUGAGCCACCAUGGCUGGCCUAAAUUUCCUAUAUAUAUUCUUUCUUUGUUUCUUUAUGAGAAUGCAAGCAUACAUGAAUGUGUAUUCUUAUUUUCCCAACUUUUAAAAUACAAAACAGUAUACUUAGUAAUAUGCCGCUAUGCUUAUAUACUAGGUUUUUGCCAAUUAAUAUGUCAUGGAAAUCUUCAUAUCAGUACAUGAGAACCUUGCUGAGCAGUAUUUGGAUUGUUUCCCAUCUUUGAGCAAUGCUGCAGUGAAAACCUUGUUCAUUUCUCAUACCUUUGUGCAACCCUCUGUGGAGUAAAUUUCUGCAUAUGAGAUUAUUGAGUCAAAGGGUAAAUGCACUAUAAACUU
rnacentral:lncRNA from 10 species